rnacentral:lncRNA from 1 species
UGAUAUUAUUAUAUUUUUUAUAUAAUAAAAUUUGAUUUUUUUUAUUUGGAUGGCUAUCAUACUAAUGAUUUAUUUAUUGUUGUUUCAGGUCAGUGUCCACCGAUGGUGAGGUGAGGGUGAGGUCCAUUGAAGAACCUCACUCUAGAGCAUUGAAGAACGAGCAUCCUGGAUAGCAUCUCCAUAUUGAGAUAUCAUCCAGCUACACUAGACCCAUUAGGAGAUGGUGUGAGCCAUGGU